rnacentral:rRNA from 1 species
UUGGAGGGCAAGUCUGGUGCCAGCAGCCGCGGUAAUUCCAGCUCCAAUAGCGUAUAUUAAAGUUGUUGCAGUUAAAAAGCUCGUAGUUGAAUUUCGGGGUUAGUAGGUUGGUCAUGCCUCUGGUAUGUACUGGUCUCACUGAUUCCUCCUUCCUGAUGAGCCGUAAUGCCAUUAAUUUGGUGUUGCGGGGAAUUUGGACUGUUACUUUGAAAAAAUUAGAGUGUAUAAAGCAAGCUAACGCUUGAAUACAUUAGCAUGGAAUAAUGAAAUAGGACGUUCGAUCCUAUUUUGUUGGUUUCUAGGAUUGACGUAAUGAUUAAUAGGGAUAGUUGGGGGCAUUAGUAUUCAAUUGUCAGAGGUGAAAUUCUUGGAUUUAUUGAAGACUAACUACUGCGAAAGCAUCUGCCAAGGAUGUUUUCAUUAAUCAAGAACGAAAGUUAGGGGAUCGAAGACGAUCAGAUACCGUCGUAGUCUUAACCAUAAACUAUGCCGACUAGGGAUCGGAUGAUGUUGAUUUUUUAAUGACUCAUUCGGCGCCUUACGGGAAAC